GCCGCGUGCAGGAUGACGGCUCUAUGAGUUGUAAACUGCUUUUGUACGAGGGUAAAUCGGGUUACGCGUAACCUUUUGAAAGUAUCGUACGAAUAAGGAUCGGCUAACUCCGUGCCAGCAGCCGCGGUAAUACGGAGGAUCCGAGCGUUAUCCGGAUUUAUUGGGUUUAAAGGGUGCGCAGGCGGUUUGGUAAGUUAGAGGUGAAAUUUCGAUGCUCAACAUCGAAACUGCCUCUGAUACUGCCGAACUGGAGACCAGUUGCGGAAGGCGGAAUGUGUGGUGUAGCGGUGAAAUGCUUAGAUAUCACACAGAACCCCGAUUGCGAAGGCAGCUUUCCAAGCUGGAUCUGACGUUGAGGCACGAAAGCGUGGGUAGCGAACAGGAUUAGAUACCCUGGUAGUCCACGCUGUAAACGAUGAUUACUCGUUGUCGGCGAUAUACAGUCGGUGACUAAGCGAAAGCGAUAAGUAAUCCACCUGGGGAGUACGUUCGCAAGAAUGAAACUCAAAGGAAUUGACGGGGGCCCGCACAAGCGGAGGAACAUGUGGUUUAAUUCGAUGAUACGCGAGGAACCUUACCCGGGCUUGAAAGUUAAUGACGAUACUGGAAACAGGAUUUCCCUUCGGGGCAUGAAACUAGGUGCUGCAUGGUUGUCGUCAGCUCGUGCCGUGAGGUGUCGGGUUAAGUCCCAUAACGAGCGCAACCCCUAUGGUUAGUUACCAUCAGGUUAAGUUGGGGACUCUAGACAGACUGCCGGUGUAAGCCGCGAGGAAGGUGGGGAUGACGUCAAAUCAGCACGGCCCUUACGUCCGGGGCGACACACGUGUUACAAUGGUCGGUACAGAGGGCAGCUACCCAGUGAUGGGAUGCGAAUCUCGAAAGCCGAUCUCAGUUCGGAUCGCAGGCUGAAACCCGCCUGCGUGAAGUUGGAUUCGCUAGUAAUCGCGCAUCA
rnacentral:rRNA from 1 species